UCUGACCACUGGCUCCCAGGGAAGGGGUGU
rnacentral:piRNA from 1 species